rnacentral:rRNA from 1 species
AUACGUAGGGUGCGAGCGUUGUCCGGAAUUACUGGGCGUAAAGAGCUCGUAGGUGGUUUGUCGCGUCGUCUGUGAAAUUCCGGGGCUUAACUCCGGGCGUGCAGGCGAUACGGGCAUAACUUGAGUACUGUAGGGGAGACUGGAAUUCCUGGUGUAGCGGUGAAAUGCGCAGAUAUCAGGAGGAACACCGGUGGCGAAGGCGGGUCUCUGGGCAGUAACUGACGCUGAGGAGCGAAAGCAUGGGUAGCGAACAGGAUUAGAUACCCUGGUAGUCCAUGCCGUAAACGGUGGGCGCUAGGUGUAGGGGUCUUCCACGACUUCUGUGCCGUAGCUAACGCAUUAAGCGCCCCGCCUGGGGAGUACGGCCGCAAGGCUGAAACUCAAAUGAAUUGACGGGG